ensembl:lncRNA LINC00863 long intergenic non-protein coding RNA 863
GGGACGGGCCCGCGGCAUUGUCCGCGACGCAGCUCGGGAUCCGGGUCGGGGUGUCGGCCGGGUUGCUGCCGGGCACCGUCGAGCGUUAGCCACCCAGCAUUGAGCUGCCAGCGGCUGUUCUCCCUAAGCACCCUCGCUCACGUCGCCUCGCCUCGCCUCGCCUGACCGGCCGCAGCCUUGGAUACCAGCCUUAAAUCGAGCCGACUACGGCCCAGCCCCGCCCGCGGCGAGGUGCGCGGGGUUCGGUGCCAGCCGCUCGCCCCUGGCGGGGCCAGCCUCUUGAUGCACCGGGGACGGGCGCCCCCAUCCGACUCUUCGAGGGGCGGCAGGGCCCCAUCUGUGUCUUUCGCUCUCGAGCCCCCAGCUAGAGUUGGCUUCAGCGGAAUACCUACUGUGCGGGAUUAUUCAACAAGCCGAUUGAUCACAUUCUUCAGCUCUAGCAGUGCAAAGGCUUCACUGAAAAAGAACAUUACAAAUUUUUUUUGAAAGAAAUUUGGGGGAAUCCACUGAAGACCUACAUUUCCCGGAAGGUUAACAGCCCCCUUCUCAGUUUUCCUGGUAAAGUGUUUUUAUAUUGGUAGAAUACCUUCUGUCACACUCUAUAUUUUUCUUAUCUCAAGUAGAAAAAAAUUUUGCCCUUUUGCUUGGGACUGUUAACAGCCCUGGUAGUGGAAAGUAGAAGGAAAUGAUUCUGUGAAUUUUCUGUUAUAUAAAUUUUAGCCAGUUUAGGACUUUUGAAUGAGGGGCCAUACAGCCAAGGAUUUAGGAUUUCAGCUCAGGAAAGAAAACUGCAUAGGUGUUUAAUUGUGUCCUAGCCACUUAUUAGCUGGGUAACUUUGAGCAAGUUUUAUACAUAUCCUUCCCAUGAGUUUUUCAUUUCUAAUACUGGCUGUGUAAUACAGUAUGUUUCAUAGACUUGCUGUAAUAAUCGAUGGAGUGUAUCUAAUAGUGUUUAUUUUACUGUAACUGGGCCACAGUUAGGAAGUACUCAAUUAAAAUUAGCCGUCAUUAUUCCUAGUAUUAAUAUGGUGAUGAACAGCUAAAGAGCAUUUAAAUAAUUAUCAUUAAUAUGGAUAAAUUUUGACCAUACCUGAAUAAAUAUUUAUAAUAUAACUGUUGAGAGUAUACAAGUUUAAUAUUUUAGGGAAAUACAAUGUCAAAUUCUAUCAAGCUCUAUUUUCAAACUAAAACAAUAGCAGUUUGCUUUCAGAUAUUUUGAAUAUUAUUGUGACAUUUCCCCCUUCUACCUUUCUGGGACCUUGGAUACAGGAACCAUGUAAGGGUAAAUCGUUUAGGUCUUCGUUGUGGGACAGGGGUGAUAUACUACAGUUCCACAGGGGCUGAGCCAGGUUUCAAGGGUGAGAUAGAGAGCUGAUGGUAAAAAUAACAAUGAGAGCAAAGGCCAAAAUGUAUGGAGUAUUUAUUAUGUGUCAGACAUUUUUCACUAAGCAUUCUAGUACAAUAUUUCUUCAGAUCUAUGAAGAUCUUAAUCUUAAGUAGUAAAUGGUUUUAUUAUAACCACUAUACAAAAUAGAAACACUAACAUAAAAAGGUUAAAUAAUCUGUUUAAAUUAUCUUGGAUUAUCAACCCAAUUAGCUGUGUCCUCAGAACAGAAGCUGGUAGCACUACACUGAACUAUACCACACUUGCAAGCCUUCAGAGGAAAAUUCCCUAAGAGAAAAUGGUAUUUAUGACUCAAUAUUUCUUCCCAUACCCUCAGUGACUUACGUUAUUUAUUUACUAAAUGCCAAAGCAGAUAGUCCAAUAGGAAAUAUGUAGCUAAAUGGCCUGCGAAGAGAAGGGAAUGUCAAAUAACAGGCAAAAUAGAAUCUGACACCCUAGGUCUCAGCAAGUGUUUUGAAUGGACAAUAAAGAAAGUGACUAGAAUGUAACCUCUGAAAAAAUGUUGUGAAGCACCAAUGGCCUUGAAAAAAUCUAGGGAGCUGAUGUAAAGGACAUCCACUUCAUAAUGACAAUUGUUGAACAAAUUACUUGUUGGAGAUGGAGUUGCAGACAAAACAAAUAUUUACCACUGCUUUAAAAUACGUUUAUUGUACUCAGGAGAAGAGUCUGGAACUGUGGUUUCAGAAUGAGCUUAUCCAACAGUAAGAAGAGGACUGGGGCAUACCUUUUAAAAUAAUAAUGAUAUAUUUAUAAUCAUCCUAGUGUGAUUUAUUUACCUUUUAGUAAAUCAAGUUCUCAGAAAACUAAAGUAAAAAAAUCUUAACAUUACAUAUGCAGGACUUAAUCUGAAUAAUCAUAAAUUUUCAUAAACUUAAUUUACAUACCACACCAUAGUAGCUGUGAUAUAGUAAAUUAAUAAGUUUUUUGUACUAUGGUGUAACUCUUUCAUCCUAAGAAUAAAAAAGAUUCUAUUAUGUCAAAA